AGACACAUGACUGGGCAGCUAACUUAAAUGGGUACAUGUUAUUUAGGAAGGAUAGGAAAAACAAGAAGGGUGGUGGGGUAUGUUUGUAUGUCAAACAUGAUUUAAAGCCAAAUGUUAAGCAAAUGGAAUGCGAGGAGGAUAAUGUGGAAGCUUUAUGGGUAAAUAUCUGCUUGGGGGAAAAGAAGGGAAACAAACUAUUGGUUGGGAUAUGUUAUAAACCACCUAAUGUUAAUAUUGACGAGGAACAACAGCUGUUUGAGCAAAUUGAGAAAGCUGCAAAUCUGGGUAACACUUUAAUUAUUGGAGAUUUUAAUUACCCGGAUAUAAAUUGGGACAGAGGGACUAGUGCCUCAGCAAAG